AGAGGGAAUAAGCUUGGUUUGAAAAGCAUCCAAAAAGCAGAAACGAAUAAAGGAAACCCCAUAAAGGAACGGUUAUCGGAUUUAGAAAAAUAGAAUUGCUAUAAAGCUCAAGCAUAAAGGGCAGACUUGGAUGUAGUUGUGUUAGUCCAACUAUGAAGUUUUUGUUUCAGCUGCCUUGUUGCUCUUGCUUCUGUUUCGUCAAGUCAAAGAAGGGGAAACACAAGGAGGGGGAGAUAAAGAAAGAGUAACAAGAAGAGUCUUCAAAGAGAGAAUGAAUCUUUUUUAUGGUGUCAAUUUGAUGUUACUUCUGUAUCCAUCGAUGAUUAUCUUUGUCAAAAGAAGGCAAGAUCAUUAAGUUAUAAUGUUGCAUCCUCUUCUUGGUUUACAUUCCUACUCAAUCUUUAUUUUUGCUUCAUAAAUGUAUUCUAAAUUAACUCGUUAAUAUGGGCGGCUAUCGGAACUGUUAUACAGUUUGGUUUCUCAUCAAUCCAUUUCAAAUCUGAUUGCUUUUCAACUAAUUAAGAUGAAGGAUCUGUCAUUUUAAGAGAGCAUGUUCCAGUUAUCAAUCUGUUUACUUACUUUAGGUCCGUUUAGUAUCAAAAUAGCCUAAGCUUGUGUGCCAGUUUCAACUACAAGACUCGAUGAGCACAAGGUAACAUGAUGACUGUCAAAAUCCUAAUUUCAAGUAGCCAAAAUGGGGUUUAAAGCCAAGAUCGACCAAAAUGUUUCAUUGCGUAAGACCCACCUAGAAAAUUUAAUUAACAUAUUAUGAAGAAAAAACAAACUAGGCUGGCUUAUAACAAAAAUACAUUUUAAUUAUUGUAAAACCUCGAAGAUGCAGAGAUAUCAUGUACUGCAAUUUGGAAAAUAACAAAGUUCUGUCAUCUAUAGUUUAUAUGAAUACGUGCAAGUUCAUUCAGCAUAACGUUGUAUGAUUAUUUAAUUAAAGUGUUCAUCUUUUAAUGUUCUCCUUCAUCGCUUGCAUUUAGGACUAGAGAAAGUGCAGAAGCAUAGUUACUGAUAUUUUAAUCGAACAAUUUAUAAUGUUUGUGGCAGUGAAGCAAUAUUGACGGUCCACAAAGACCUAGGUGGUGGGUAAACUAAGGUUAUGAUCAGUCAGGAUCCACAAGAAGAGCACUGUCUGAGUUUGCUGAAUACAUGGAGUGGUUCUGGCACUGAAGUAUGGAACCCAGGGAGUUCCUCCAUUCUUCAAGUCCUUCUCUCCUUUCAGGCUCUUGUUCUGAAUGAGAAGCCUUACUUCAACAAAGCUGGCUAUGAUAAGCAGUUGGGCUGAGCUGAGGAAGAGAAAAACUCGCUGAGUUUACAAUGAGAACGCUUUCCUCAUCAUCACCUGCAAAUCCAUGAUUCGUUGCUGCACAAGCCUCCAAAGGGCUCAGCAUGUUCUGGCUGCGUGCAAGGCUUAUAUGGAAGGCGUCCCUGUAGGAUCAUCAACGAAACUGCAGGAGACUUCAACCACAAACUCCACCGGUUUCAGGAUCAUGCUCUCUAAACUCUGCCCAACACUUGUUGAAGCAUUCUCAGAGAUUGGAGUUGAUUGCAGCCAAGGGGUUGCACUUGAAUCAUGACGGUUGACACUGUUGUUAUGUGUAAGAAUAAAGGGCUGUAUAAAUUUAAUAGAUCCAUCUUGUAAAGUAUCAAAGGGUUGUAAUGUUGCAAAGAACCAUGUGUACCAUGUUCUGUGAUAAAAAUUGAAACACUUGUGUGUUGUUGUACAAUACAUAUAGAUUCGAUUUGACUCAUUGUACGUUUAGGUGUAUGAAACUGUCGGCCAAAU